rnacentral:rRNA from 1 species
CCUACGGGAGGCAGCAGUGGGGAAUUUUGGACAAUGGGCGAAAGCCUGAUCCAGCAAUGCCGCGUGAGUGAAGAAGGCCUUCGGGUUGUAAAGCUCUUUUGUCAGGGAAGAAACGGUGAGAGCUAAUAUCUUUUGCUAAUGACGGUACCUGAAGAAUAAGCACCGGCUAACUACGUGCCAGCAGCCGCGGUAAUACGUAGGGUGCAAGCGUUAAUCGGAAUUACUGGGCGUAAAGCGUGCGCAGGCGGUUUUGUAAGUCUGAUGUGAAAUCCCCGGGCUCAACCUGGGAAUUGCAUUGGAGACUGCAAGGCUAGAAUCUGGCAGAGGGGGGUAGAAUUCCACGUGUAGCAGUGAAAUGCGUAGAUAUGUGGAGGAACACCGAUGGCGAAGGCAGCCCCCUGGGUCAAGAUUGACGCUCAUGCACGAAAGCGUGGGGAGCAAACAGGAUUAGAUACCCUGGUAGUCCACGCCCUAAACGAUGUCUACUAGUUGUCGGGUUCUUAAUUGACUUGGUAACGCAGCUAACGCGUGAAGUAGACCGCCUGGGGAGUACGGUCGCAGNUUAAAACGUCAAAGGAAUUGACGG